ACUGCGGCAAUUCUAGAGCUAAUACAUGCAACAAAGCUCUGCCCGCAAGGAACGAGCGCAUUUAUUAGAAUAAAAACCAAUCGGGCUUCGGCCCGUAAUUUGGUGAAUCUGAAUAACUUUGCCAAUCGCACAGUCCUAGUACUGGCGAUGUAUCUUUCAAGUGUCUGCCUUAUCAACUUUCGAUGGUAGGCUAUACGCCUACCAUGGUAGUAACGGGUAACGGAGAAUAAGGGUUCGACUCCGGAGAGGGAGCCUGAGAAACGGCUACCACAUCCAAGGAAGGCAGCAGGCGCGCAAAUUACCCACUUCCAGAACGGAGAGGUAGUGACGAAAAAUAACGAGACAGUCCUCUUCGAGGUCUGUCAUCGGAAUGGGUACAAUUUAAAUCCUUUAACGAGGAUCUAUUGGAGGGCAAGUCUGGUGCCAGCAGCCGCGGUAAUUCCAGCUCCAAUAGCGUAUAUUAAAGUUGUUGCGGUUAAAACGCUCGUAGUUGGAUCUGCGGCCGCGGAGAACGGUCCCCCGAAAGGGCGGUCACUGUCUCUCCUAGCCUAAAUUCGAGUCGUCCCUAGGUGCUCUUUAUUGAGUGCUUAGGGGUGACUAGAACGUUUACUUUGAAAAAAUUAGAGUGCUUAAAGCAGGCGAAAUAGCCUGAAUAAGGGCAUGGAAUAAUGGAAUAGGACCUCGGUUCUAUUUUGUUGGUUUUCGGAGCCCGAGGUAAUGAUUAAGAGGAACAAACGGGGGCAUUCGUAUUCCGGCGCUAGAGGGAAAAUUCUUGGGACGCCAGAAGACGGACAACUGCAAAGCAUUUGCCAAGAAUGUUUUCAUUAAUCAAGAACGAAAGUUAGAGGUUCGAAGGCGAUCAGAUACCGCCCUAGUUCUAACCGUAAACGAUGACAACCAGCGAUUAAUCGGCGUUAAUAUAUGACCCGAUUAGCAGCUUCCGGGAAACCAAAGUUUUUCGUUUCCGGGGGAAGUAUGGUUGCAAAGCUGAAACUUAAAGGAAUUGACGGAAGGGCACCACCAGGAGUGGAGCCUGCGGCUUAAUUUGACUCAACACGGGAAAACUCACCCGGCCCGGACACCGUAAGGAUUGACAGACUGAGAGCUCUUUCUUAAUUCGGUGGGUGGUGGUGCAUGGCCGUUCUUAGUUGGUGGAGCGAUUUGUCUGGUUAAUUCCGAUAACGAACGAGACUCUGGCCUAUUAAAUAGACGGUAUAUUAAAAAGUAUAUCGCACUUCUUAGAGGGACAAGCGGCGUCUAGCCGCAUGAAAUAGAGCAAUAACAGGUCUGUGAUGCCCUUAGAUGUCCGGGGCUGCACGCGCGCUACACUGAAAGAAUCAGUGUGCAUUGUGCCUAGUUCGGAAGAACCGGGUAACCCAAGUAAAUUCUUUCGUGCUUGGGAUAGGGAAUUGCAAUUAUUUCCCUUAAACGAGGAAUUCCCAGUAAAUGCGGGUCAUAAGCUCGCGUUGAUUACGUCCCUGCCCUUUGUACACACCGCCCGUCGCUACUACCGAUUGGAUGACUUAGUGAGGUCUUAGGACCGAGGUCAAGGGUGCUUUAACGAGUGCUUUUUGCUUUGGAAAUUUGAUCGAACUACGUUAUCUAGAGGAAGUAAAAGUCGUAACAAGGUUUCCGUAGGUGAACCUGCGGAAGGAUCAUUACCGAGCUAAACAAACGAGAAAACGCGCGUGCUUAUGAAAUACUGACACGGGUCGGAAAGUACUUAUGUACGUAUGCCCGUUGAAGUUAAAGUACCCGUGUAAGUCUGAUUACGUACCGGUGCGAAUGCGGUAAGGCGCCAAAAAGCGCGACUCCGUCUCCGGCUACAAGCGGACAAUGUAAUACGUAUGUAAUUAUGUAUUGCAUACAGACGCCCUGGAACCCAGUCUGGAGUGGUAAGAGUCCAGCUGGAUUCUUCUCGGGUACCUGUCGAUACUAGCGUUACAGUUAUUCGUCGGGGUGUAAAGGAAAUACGUUAGUCUCGAAGAUCUAAAUACCCACUAGUGGCUGCUCUUGAAAAUUAAUCACAAGUCGAAAAAUAGCGAGUCACUAGUCGGGAUCGGAAGGUUUAAAGAGUCACUUGGCGAUUCUAGCGGCUGGUCGAAAAGUAUAAAGCACCACGUACCACACCGGAAAAGAGUAGUACGGUCUCCUUAUUAUUUACCGGGCUCGGAGGUGUGAAACGCUCGGGUGACCACAAGAAAAAAACAUGAAAUUACACUAUUAGUUUCUCUUCGCGCACCCCUUCAUAUUUUGGAGCGAUAAAAAAGCGGAUUCUGAGUCGCGGUUCGAUUCAA
rnacentral:rRNA from 1 species